rnacentral:lncRNA from 1 species
UCGGUGUUUAAUGGUUUGUCAAAAGAUUUCACCAUAAUCUUUAAUCUUAGCUAUUUCAUAUAGGCUUUGACAUGAAGAACAGCUAUAAAGGAGCUCAACUGCAACCUCAAACAGUAACCUGGGAACUAUGAACCUUUAAUUAGAUGAAUAUUAUUUGAAAAUGACUUGUUGCCAUGGGCAUACCUUCAUAUAAAAUUUAGUUAACCUGGUGAAUGUAAAAUGGUACUAUAUUAGUUUUAAAAGUGUUGAUAGUAUUAUGGCACAAUCAACAAAAAAGUUUCAGCUGCGGCUUUCCUCUGAGAAAUUUGCUCAUAAAAAAUUCAUGCAUCAAAAACAAUUCAAAAUUGUAGGUGUCCUCUGCAAAUAAUUAUUCUUUUUUUCAAAAAUGAAAAGAUUCAUGUUAUUGUUGGAAGUGGAGUUUACAGGAAUUGUUACUGUAUUAUUUUACCAUGUUUGUAAGCAUAAAAAUGCUUUCAAAAUAAGAUUCUAUAACUUUGUUAAAAUUGUAAGUACCUAUAACUAAAACUAUGAUGAGCAACAUGAUCAGUCUGAUAAAAGUCUGUAAAACCAUCUAACAACAUUUCACUAACAAUGUACAAACAAUUUAUAUUAUUAAGCAUGGAAAAUC